rnacentral:rRNA from 1 species
ACGGGUGAGUAACACGUGGGUAACCUGCCCAUAAGACUGGGAUAACUCCGGGAAACCGGGGCUAAUACCGGAUAACAUUUUGAACCGCAUGGUUCGAAAUUGAAAGGCGGCUUCGGCUGUCACUUAUGGAUGGACCCGCGUCGCAUUAGCUAGUUGGUGAGGUAACGGCUCACCAAGGCAACGAUGCGUAGCCGACCUGAGAGGGUGAUCGGCCACACUGGGACUGAGACACGGCCCAGACUCCUACGGGAGGCAGCAGUAGGGAAUCUUCCGCAAUGGACGAAAGUCUGACGGAGCAACGCCGCGUGAGUGAUGAAGGCUUUCGGGUCGUAAAACUCUGUUGUUAGGGAAGAACAAGUGCUAGUUGAAUAAGCUGGCACCUUGACGGUACCUAACCAGAAAGCCACGGCUAACUACGUGCCAGCAGCCGCGGUAAUACGUAGGUGGCAAGCGUUAUCCGGAAUUAUUGGGCGUAAAGCGCGCGCAGGUGGUUUCUUAAGUCUGAUGUGAAAGCCCACGGCUCAACCGUGGAGGGUCAUUGGAAACUGGGAGACUUGAGUGCAGAAGAGGAAAGUGGAAUUCCAUGUGUAGCGGUGAAAUGCGUAGAGAUAUGGAGGAACACCAGUGGCGAAGCGACUUUUCUGGUCUGUAACUGACACUGAGGCGGCGAAAGCGUGGGGGAAGCAACAGGAAUUAGAAUACCCCUGGAUAGUUCCCACGGCCGUUAGACGGAUGGAGGCUGGCUAAGUUGAUUAGA